GUGGGGAAUAUUGGACAAUGGGCGGAAGCCUGAUCCAGCCAUGCCGCGUGUGUGAAGAAGGCCUUUUGGUUGUAAAGCACUUUAAGCGAGGAGGAGGCUCCUUUAGUUAAUACCUAAAGUGAGUGGACGUUACUCGCAGAAUAAGCACCGGCUAACUCUGUGCCAGCAGCCGCGGUAAUACAGAGGGUGCGAGCGUUAAUCGGAUUUACUGGGCGUAAAGCGUGCGUAGGCGGCUUUUUAAGUCGGAUGUGAAAUCCCUGAGCUUAACUUAGGAAUUGCAUUCGAUACUGGAAAGCUAGAGUAUGGGAGAGGAUGGUAGAAUUCCAGGUGUAGCGGUGAAAUGCGUAGAGAUCUGGAGGAAUACCGAUGGCGAAGGCAGCCAUCUGGCCUAAUACUGACGCUGAGGUACGAAAGCAUGGGGAGCAAACAGGAUUAGAUACCCCGGUAGUCC
rnacentral:rRNA from 1 species